rnacentral:rRNA from 1 species
UACGUAGGGGGCAAGCGUUGUCCGGAAUCAUUGGGCGUAAAGAGCGUGUAGGCGGCCAUGUAGGUCCGUUGUGAAAACUCGAGGCUCAACCUCGAGACGCCGAUGGAAACCAUGUGGCUAGAGUCCGGAAGAGGAGAGUGGAAUUCCUGGUGUAGCGGUGAAAUGCGCAGAUAUCAGGAAGAACACCCAUGGCUAAGGCGGCUCUCUAGUACGGUACUGACGCUGAGACGCGAAAGCGUGGGGAGCGAACAGG